ACGCCCAGGAUCCGAACCCGUGAACCCUUGGGCUGCUAAAGCAGAGCAUGUAAACUUAACCACUACACCACUGGGCUUGCCCCUCACCAAGUCCAUUUUUAAGGAGCUCUUGGUGAGCUGAGCUGAGGUUGAAGCGGAAUCUGCUUUCUAACCUAUUUUGAGACAAUACACUUAUGAGACUGAUAUAAGAAGAGCCCCCAAUGCUGCAGGUCAACCAGCUCCCCACAUGUUCUUUUCACCUGUGCAGUACUGGGAAGCUGCAGCCUAAAUGCCUAGGGUCUGAGAGUUCCUCAAAUACUGCAGCCUAAGAAAGGUGGAGAGGCUGCCCUCACACAUAAACGCAGGGUGGUGACCACAUUUUGAAGUGAGAGACAGUUGAAUACUCUGGCAAGAACAGAUAAUGUUUUCUAAACUGUCCAAUUGAUGGCCUCCAAAAACACAUUUUACAGAAAGUGACAAUGUGCUCUCUCUGACUGGGCCUAUCCUGAGGAAACAACAAGUGUUCACAGAGGCUCCUUGCUGGUCAGGAUAGAUUUCCCACUGCAGCUGGCUGUCCCCAGCAGAGCGUGGGGAGAAGGAGCCUCCUGGGUGUUAACCAGCACCACAUCUGGCCAGACUGAGUUCAAAACACACUACUUGCUGGCCUGGCCUAGUCUACCCUCAGAGCGGCUACCCAGUGAACACUCUCCAGUGAGAACUACAAAAGGAAAAAAGGACUGAACAGAAAAACCAGAUAUUUAAACAGCAAAACUUCAUUAAUUUCCAGUCCAUUAAUUUAGCAAGUACAAUACCUCAAAUGUUUGAUUUGAACAUGACUCCCUGAGACAAAGGUUUGAAAUACAUAUAGCAUGAUGCCUUUAAUUUGUAUUAGAUCAUGAACCCUAUGCCAAUGACGAAUUAUAAACAAGCUCACAUUUACUGAGUGUCAUGUACUAUGCACCACACUAAUGCCUUCCAGGAUUAUCUUAUUUAAUUUUCACAAUGAUCCAAGGAGUUGAGUUCUGUUAUCCCCAUUUUCAAGAGGAGCUUUAGUGGGGUGAGUAAUCACACAACAUGAUUUCAUGCCUGGAAUCAGACAACGAGGCAUGGGGAAGCCAGCUCCAUCUGAAUCUGAACAAGAACCCAUGCUCCUCUCUGUUAUGCAUUUUAUAAAGAACAACGAAAUUAUUCUACUGAGUAGCACUUACCUAUAACUUCAUUAAAAGCAGUUAUAAUCUACAUAACUAAAAUUUUUUAUAUUUUUAUAUUUAGACUUUUCAUGAAAGGAUUACACUUCUCAUCUAUUUCUUUCUGUAGUCCCUAAAUUACUGCAAUGUAAUGUAACUAUAUGAAACCAAUUCCAAGUUAAAUUCCCUCACAUACAGUCAUGCAUUGCAUGACAACGCUUCAGUCAACAACAGACCACAUACACGACGGUGGUCCCAUGAGAUGAGUACCACAAAGCCUAGGUGUGUAGUAGGCGAUACCAUCUAGGUUUGUGUAACUAUACUCUGUGAUGCUCACACGACGAUGAAAUUGCCUAACGACACAUUUCUCAGAACCAUCCCCAUCAUCGAGAGACACACACAGUCGCAUGAUGGACAGGCAAGCAGGACAGGACUGAAACUCACUGUAUUAGUCAGUUGGUCAAUUCUAUGCAAAGUCAGUGCAGGUCUCAAAAUUUCUAUACUGGCUACCAAGCAGCAACUAUUUCCCUAAAAAAUGGGAGUAUUAAACAUUCUUAUGUUUGUAAUCCUCACUUUUUGCCUAAAAAGAGCUUUUCCAAAUAGACAUAAACAAAUAGACAUAGUUCAAAAGCAAACUUUAUAAUUUUGCAGAAAAGAAAAUAUAAGAAGACAGGAGGAAGAAGAAAGAGAUGAAGAGAGGGAGAAACAAAGAAACCAGAAAGCAGGCAGGAAAAGCAGCACGAAGUGGGGAGGGAGGGAACCGACUGCUAUUCCCACCCUAAGAAGCACUUGGGUCCUUCAUGCCGAGCUUCAGGUCCACUCAGUGGAGCAAGAGCAGGAGGACCAGCAACUUCCUUCCAGGCAAUCUGGCGAGCCCCUGAGGGCCACAGAGCCACACCUGUGAUCUUCUUGUUCUUCAAUGCAAAGUUCUCCCAAAGAAGUUUCCAAACCUUGAGGCUAUGUCAUGUUUCCUACAUCCACACUCUGUGUGAUCAUCAGCCCUCAUAGACGUUUUGUAGAGCAUCUCUCCAAUGCAUCUUCAAACGAUUUUCUCUCUGCCCCUUAGGCAGACUGGCCUGCAGCAGCAAGGUCCCACUAAACUGGAAACAACUUCUAAGUAGAAACCAGGCUUUUCGACUCUGAACAGUGCAGGGCACUCACUGGGCCACUGAUAAACGAAUGAGUGGGUGGUCUUGGGCUUCAUUAAGCACCACUACCAUACCCUCAAAGCAGGUCUGCCAAAAUGAUUAGUUAGUCAUCCACCAUGCAGGAGAAAGUAGUACUUUAACUUGCCUGCCUCAGAGAGUCCCAAGCUUGGGCCACAAAGGAUGGUGAUUGGCCAAAGGGUCAACAGUACCAAUGCCCUCCCAGGACCUGGCCCUGGACAAAGUUCCAAGAUCCAAAGAACUCAAAAGCAGCCCCAAGAGAAUUUACUUCUUGCCUUUGUGCAAACUACCAGGAAACUUAGCUCCAUGGAGAAUGUGAAGAGCAAAGCUUUAGUCAAGAGACUCUGUCCCUUCUCCUCUCCAGACAAAGCACAUCUGAGACCAAGGUCUGAAUGGGUUCCACAUCGAAUCAGUUCUUCAGGUUACACCAAGUACCCCAAGUACUUAGAGCACUUUGUACUAUGGCUGAGGUGAGAAACGAGCGACUGUGGGGGACAAGGAGGAAGGGU